GGCGGCGUGAACACUGCUCCUUGUCCAUUUCUGUUCAAAGCCGGCUUUGCCACCUUUGACCAAGGAACAAGUGUUGGCAGUGACCCAAAUGUUCCACCAGGUGGCACUCUUGCUCCAACCAGGUGCCCCUGAAAAGGGGCAUCUUAGCCCAACUAAAGAGAUUUAAACUAAUUGCUAAAUUGUUACCAGUUGUUUUUUGAAAGGCCGGAAGGAAUCCCUAGCACGGAUUGGGGUGAGCAGAGAUGCCAUAUGAGGAUAGGCGGAAUAGUCUGGAGAGCCUGGAGCAAGGGCCUUAUCUAAAGCUCCCUAGAUCUGCUUAUGUCUUCUACAGGAAGAUGGGGAUGUCACCCCUGCCUGCCGCACAUGGCCACCAGCCUGGGGUGUAGUGGCCUGUGGGGGGAUUGAGAAGAGCGGUCCCAUCCCCGCAAAAAGUGGGGACCCUCCUCAGGCACAGCCUAAGAUGACAGAGACAUCAUGAAGUCAUAACAUCAGUGGGAGACAAG